GACGAACGCUGGCGGCGUGCUUAACACAUGCAAGUCGAGCGGUAAGGCCCUUUCGGGGGUACGACGAGCGGCGAACGGGUGAGUAACACGUGGGUGACCUGCCCUCAGCUCUGGGAUAAGCCUGGGAAACUGGGUCUAAUACUGGAUAUGACUCCACGGUGCAUGUCGUGGGGUGGAAAGCCUUGUGCGGCUGAGGAUGGGCCCGCGGCCUAUCAGCUUGUUGGUGGGGUGAGGCCUACCAAGGCGACGACGGGUAGCCGGCCUGAGAGGGCGACCGGCCACACUGGGACUGAGACACGGCCCAGACUCCUACAGGAGGCAGCAGUGGGGAAUCUUGCGCAAUGGGCGAAAGCCUGACGCAGCGACGCCGCGUGAGGGAUGA
rnacentral:rRNA from 1 species